rnacentral:misc_RNA from 1 species
GAUUAUCGUACUUUUAAUCAUAGGCGAACUAUGAGUCACGUAGCCUCGCAUCGGCUGGCUGCAAAAUAUUUCACGAAUUAACGCACGAGCAGGUUCUCGAGACUCGUUCUGCGUCUAAACUGAAUUUUAAGCCGUGGAAACUUGCGAAACCGAGGCGACACGGUUGCCAGUGUAUGACGUCCGCAAACUUUUACGCCUUAAUCCUAGAGAAUAUGACCAAAGAACUGGGCCAAACUCACUUUGGUACCUCGUUCUCCUUUCUGCCAAUCCCAGAUCGAAAUGUUGUGAUCGGAAGUCUCGUCGAUGGCGCAC